UACAGAGGUCUCAAGCGUUGUUCGGAUUCAUUGGGCGUAAAGGGUGCGUAGGUGGUGAUGCAAGUCUGGUGUGAAAUCUCGGAGCUCAACUCCGAAAUUGCACCGGAUACUGCGUGACUCGAGGACUGUAGAGGAGAUCGGAAUUCACGGUGUAGCAGUGAAAUGCGUAGAUAUCGUGAGGAAGACCUGUUGCGAAGGCGGAUCUCUGGGCAGUUCCUGACACUGAGGCACGAAGGCCAGGGGAGCAAACGGG
rnacentral:rRNA from 1 species